GCGUCCUUAGCUCAGUUGGAUAGAGCACUCGCCUUCUAAGCGAGCGGUCAGAGGUUCGAAUCCUCUAGGACGCG
rfam:Cupriavidus sp. TSMAA2-4 chromosome 1, complete sequence.